rnacentral:rRNA from 1 species
GACGAACGCUGGCGGCGUGCUUAACACAUGCAAGUCGAACGGAAAGGCCCUGCUUGCAGGGUACUCGAGUGGCGAACGGGUGAGUAACACGUGGGUGAUCUGCCCUGCACUUCGGGAUAAGCCUGGGAAACUGGGUCUAAUACCGGAUAGGAGCCAUUUUUAGUGUGAUGGUUGGAAAGUUUUUUCGGUGUAGGAUGAGCUCGCGGCCUAUCAGCUUGUUGGUGGGGUAAUGGCCUACCAAGGCGGCGACGGGUAGCCGGCCUGAGAGGGUGGACGGCCACAUUGGGACUGAGAUACGGCCCAGACUCCUACGGGAGGCAGCAGUGGGGAAUAUUGCACAAUGGGCGCAAGCCUGAUGCAGCGACGCCGCGUGGGGGAUGACGGCCUUCGGGUUGUAAACUCCGUUCGCUAGGGACGAAGCUUUUUGUGACGGUACCUAGAUAAGAAGCAUCGGCUAACUACGUG